rnacentral:rRNA from 1 species
GGUGCGUUUUCUCUGAGUCGAGUAGCUUGGGACUGCUGCUCAAAAUUGGUGGUAAACUUCAUCUAAAGCUAAACAUUGGUGAGAGACCGAUAGCAAACAAGUACUGUGAAGGAAAGAUGAAAAGAACACAGGUAUGUGGGUUAAAAGUACCUGAAACCGCUGCAAGGGAAGCGAAUGGGACCAGUAGUGUAUCG